GGAAAAGUGGCUGAGAGGCUGAUAGCGUUGGCUUGCUAAGUCAAUAUAUCUUUUAAAGAUAUCGCGGGUUCGAAUCCCGCUUUUUCCG
rnacentral:tRNA from 1 species